rnacentral:lncRNA from 1 species
CUCUCCAAAGUUGAUUUAAUAACCCACAUAAGGGGACUUAAAUAGGCUUUGAGAGAAAUUUAUUUCCCUUUCCUAGAAAGAUAUAAUUUCCAAUUAAAGAGGGAAUCAACAUCAAAAUUGGAAACAAUCUUAUGUUUCCUCAAGCAAGAAGAUCUCUACACCUGCUGCUAUUUCCUGUGAGCAGCCCAACAGGUGUGGGGGCAUUUGUGGAACAAAAAAUAAUCAAGAGGCACGUGGAUUUUUGGGUAAAAAGAACAAAAUUACGCUCGAGGCACACCAAGAUUCCUAUACACGAGCAAUGGACAAUCAUCCCUCAAUCAAGUAAAAAAUGCCCAAAAUAGGUAACAAAUUCAAAGUUAUUUCAUCCAUCCUUAUCCUAUAUUUUCCACAAGGUAAUUAUUUCAUAACCUUCAAAACAUUCCAUAUAAAUUGAGUUAAUUGGCUAAUUAAUGGAUUUAUUCCUAAUUAAUCCAUUCAUUACCAAUUAAAUCACCCAUUUCACACAAAAAUACCCCAAAGGGCCGGCCAUUUUUUCUCAAAAGGGGGACCGACCAUGCUCUAUAUAUUGAACCCCAUUUUCUCUAAAAACCUAGGUCCACACUCUUGCAAAACUCCAAAAACUCUCUAAACACUUUUCUAAAUUCUAACUUUGGCAUCGGAGGUUCUUUGGCCAAAGCCCCCUUCCCCCAAUUCAUAGUGGGCGCGUGAGGCUUUUGGCCUUAACUAAAGGUGUUAAUUAUUUUGUAGGUGCAAUUUUGUCCAAGAUCAGGGAGGAAGAAAUUUGCAUCCACAAACUAUAUGCCCCUAAGAACUUAUGAUUCCAUAUGCAAGAUGCAAUGAAUCAAAGGCUCACAAACUAACAUGUCAAUCUUAGGUUUGUUUGAUUGACUUCGAUCCGAACUCCACGUGUUUGCUAAUUUUACUAUCAUUUCAAUGCGCCGCAUAUAUAUAU